UGAUUAUUAUAUUUGCAUAGAUAACUUUAUUUGUGACUUGACUAGUAAAACUCUAAGGAGCUGGACCAUCUGGAGACCAAAGAUAAAAAUAUAUUCUAGAGUUAAAAUGCUCCUGGAGUUUGUUCCAGAUGGGCUGCAUAAAAUCAAACUGCUGUAAGAAACACUGCCAGGAAACAAGCACUUGACACAUACAACCUUUGCAGUAGAUGUUUAUAUAAAUUAUCAUUUUCAAUAUUGUGUUUUAAUUGAAUAAAGAGCUUUGUGUGUGAAGCAAAACAAUGAGCUUGGUCUUCUGCUAUCAGAAAACCACAGGUUAAAGGAGUUAAUAAGAAGAGGACCAACUUGGGUUAGUUUUGUUAUUACAUCCUUUCUGAAAGCCCCUUAGAAGAUGACCUAACAGUCACAAAUGAUACUGAGCAUCCGCAGCUUCAGCAGGAAAUCAGUGCUGGUUUACUUCAGUAAAGCUGAUGUAAAAACUCUGGAUGUUGGUCAUUGUACCUGUAGACUACGGGAGGAAUAA
rnacentral:lncRNA from 1 species